rnacentral:rRNA from 1 species
UACGUAGGGUGCGAGCGUUAAUCGGAAUUACUGGGCGUAAAGCGUGCGCAGGCGGCUUUGCAAGACAGAUGUGAAAUCCCCGGGCUUAACCUGGGAACUGCAUUUGUGACUGCAUGGCUGGAGUGCGGCAGAGGGGGAUGGAAUUCCGCGUGUAGCAGUGAAAUGCGUAGAUAUGCGGAGGAACACCGAUGGCGAAGGCAAUCCCCUGGGCCUGCACUGACGCUCAUGCACGAAAGCGUGGGGGGCAAACAGG